rnacentral:rRNA from 1 species
GACGAACGCUGGCGGCGUGCUUAACACAUGCAAGUCGAACGGCAAGGCCCUGCUUUUGUGGGGUGCUCGAGUGGCGAACGGGUGAGUAACACGUGAGUAACCUGCCCUUGACUUUGGGAUAACUUCAGGAAACUGGGGCUAAUACCGGAUAGGAGCUCCUGCUGCAUGGUGGGGGUUGGAAAGUUUCGGCGGUUGGGGAUGGACUCGCGGCUUAUCAGCUUGUUGGUUGGGUAGUGGCUUACCAAGGCUUUGACGGGUAGCCGGCCUGAGAGGGUGACCGGCCACAUUAGGACUGAGAUACGGCCCAGACUGCUACGGGAGGCAGCAGUGGGGAAUCUUGCACAAUGGGCGGAAGCCUGAUGCAGCAACGCCGCGUUCGGGAUGACGGCCUUCGGGUUGUGAACCGCUUUCGCCUGUGACGAAGCGGGAGUGACGGUAAUGGGUAAAGAAGCACCGGCUAACUACGUG